AUGCUCUUAGGUCUCCAGCAGCACAAAAACUAAAAUUGGAAUGAUACAGAGAUUAGAAUGGCCCCUGCACAAGGAAGACGUGCAAAUUUGUGAAGCGCUCCAUAUAAAA
ensembl:snRNA U6 U6 spliceosomal RNA